GACGAACGCUGGCGGCGUGCUUAACACAUGCAAGUCGAACGGAAAGGCCCUGCUUUUGUGGGGUGCUCGAGUGGCGAACGGGUGAGUAACACGUGAGUAACCUCCCCUUGUCUUUGUGAUAACUUCAGGAAACUGGGGCUAAUACCGGAUAGGAGCUCCUGCUGCAUGUUGGGGGUUGGAAAGUUUCGGCGGUUGGGGAUGGACUCGCGGUUUAUCAGCUUGUUGGUGGGGUAGUGGCUUACCAAGGCUUUGACGGGUAGCCGGCCUGAGAGGGUGACCGGCCACAUUGGGACUGAGAUACGGCCCAGACUCCUACGGGAGGCAGCAGUGGGGAAUAUUGCACAAUGGGCGGAAGCCUGAUGCAGCAACGCCGCGUGCGGGAUGACGGCCUUCGGGUUGUAAACCGCUUUCGCCUGUGACGAAGCGUGAGUGACGGUAAUGGGUAAAGAAGCACCGGCUAACUACGUG
rnacentral:rRNA from 1 species